rnacentral:rRNA from 1 species
GAAUUUUGGACAAUGGGCGAAAGCCUGAUCCAGCAAUGCCGCGUGCAGGAUGAAGGCCUUCGGGCUGUAAACUGCUUUUGUACGGCAUGAAAAGCUUUGGGGUAAUACCCUGGAGUCAUGACGGUACCGCACGAAUAAGCACCGGCUAACUACGUGCCCGCAGCCGCUGUAAUACGUAGGGUGAAAGCUUUAAUCGGAAUUACUGGGCGAAGAGCGUGCGCAGGCGGUUUUGUAAGACAGAGGUGAAAUCCCCGGGCUCAACCUGGGAACUGCCUUUGUGACUGCAAGGCUAGAGUACGGCAGAGGGGGGUGGAAUUCCGCGUGUAGCAGUGAAAUGCGUAGAUAUGCGGAGGAACACCGAUGGCGAAGGCAACCCCCUGGGCCUGUACUGACGCUCAUGCACGAAAGCGUGGGGAGCAAACA